rnacentral:sRNA from 1 species
UCGUGCACUCGUGAAUGUGGUUUCUGAAUGCCACAAGCGCACAAAUAAUCAAAUAAAAAAUUUUUCGUAAUGUUUUUUUUAUUAUAAAUUGUGUGAAUUUUCUUAGGUUUCAACAUUUAUGUGUUAAAUUAACAAAAAAAUCAAGCUUUAACCUCAGAAAAUCUUCCAACUAAAACCUAGCGAAGCCCCAAUUAGUUAAAACAAUUUAAAACCGGUAAAAAAAAUCACAAACAACAUUACCAAGUUACCUACCUAACUUUGUGCUUACUCAUUGGCUUUGGGUGACAAGUAAUAAGAAAAAAUUACAACAAAAAAAUAGUUCCAUGUAACAAAAUAAAAAGAAAAUCUCCCCCAAGUGAAAGUGUAACAAUUUUGUGAAAAUUGCAAAUCUGUUUUUUUUAUUGCGAGCAAUAAAAGCUGUUUCGGUGUGAGAGAAGCAAAAAAGGCGAUAUAAGUUUCCAUUAGUAGUAAAGCAAAAAACACCCACGUCUUGUAAAGAGCGUUGUUGUUCGGUUUUGUUUGUUAAUAAAACGAUAGUUGCAAAGAAGUUUAGAAACUCAUCACUAAACGGAAAAAAAAGCAAGACACACAUUCUAAAACGUACAUAAAAAACAACAAUUCAUAUUGUAAAGAACUUCUCUGUGGCAGAGGGUAAACGAGAGACGGAUUGUUGACUAACUACCUGUUUCCCUGCAUGAAACAAUGCAAAGCCAACGAUAACAACAACAACAACAACAUAUGAGACCGUUUUAUAUACAAAAGGAAUAGUCAGUCGUAGCCGCACAAAAAAUCAUACAAACAAAAUAAUACAAUUGUGUUGUAGUGUGUAUACUAACGACCAUGCAUGUGUGUAAAGGUGUGCGUAGUGUUUUUAUAUAAAUAAUAACAACAACAAUGAUAAAAUC